rnacentral:rRNA from 1 species
AGAGAGAAGAGGGAGGGUAUUUGUUUCAUCCAGGACAAAAGGGAACGUGGCAUCACCUUCUCCAAGAGACGUGAUGGCUUGUACAAGAUGGCAUGUGACCUCUCCGUCCUCACGGGCGUGAGGGUUGCUGUCGUCUUGGAGAUGGAGUCUGGAAUAAUGCACUCAUUUGGGACGCCAUCAGCGGCACCCAUAGUUGAAGCUUUCUUAUCAGGAGGUCCACUUGUCGAGCCGUUGGCUGAUGAGGCAAAUAAUGCUAGGAUUAGAAUGUUGCAGGGGGAGGUGGCUCGGUUGGACAUGGAAAGUGUGACACAUGAGAAGAGAGCAGAACUCUCCCUCGAGCAUAUCAAAAAUAUACAAGACGAGAACCCAGGUAUUGUACCAAAUUUCAUCUUCUCCAAGGAAGAAGAUCUUAGUCUUGAAGAUCUUAACAAGUUCUUCAAUGAACUUUUGCGGGUCCGGGAGGACAUUAGAUGUCGUAUGCCUCCACUUCAUCCUAUAAGUGAACCCAAGACUGGUGGUCCAAACGUACAAACGAAUGAGUUGAUGCUAAGAGGCCCAUCAUGUGAUUACUUGAAUACUCCUCUUUCAUCCCAACAACCAUCGUCAUCUCAUUGUAUUCCACCUCAAGUGUUGUCGUCGGUUCCACUACCAUCAAAACCACAAGACACGAUGGAACCACAUUUUCCUAUGCAGGUACCACAAAUAUUUCAGUCAGCACCACCAUCUUUGGGUUCCCAUUUUACAUCCCUCGUACAACCCAUUCCUGAUCCUGUACAAGAUUUACCUCCACACCUUCAGAACUAUCCAAGUUCUUACAACUCAAUGGAGCCACCACAGAACAACACAAUCACUAACUCAACCAUUGGGAGCAUUGUGGAGGGCCCCCCACAGUUGUUCUACCCCAAUGGCAAUGACUUCUCCGCCGGUGAAUCCUUUAGCAAUGGUACCUUGGCCUACACUCCAUCGAACCAACCACACUACAAUGGGAACCUAGGGAUGGAUGCUUAUUUGGGACAUAAUGGCAAUAAUGUAGGCCAAUAUAACAUGGACUAUGAUGAGUUUGUCAAU